CACGGGACAGGGACGCUGCUGCCCUGGUGCAGCAAGCAGGGCUCCUCUGCAUCCUCCCACCCCUCUUAUUUCCCCGCACCUCCCCGACUGAAGCCAACCUCCAGCGCUGCUAAUCCAUCCCAUGGCAGCAUCCCGCUGCUCGCACCUGUGGGGCACGCCGGCCAGCUGGUGUUAAUUGCUGAAAGUUGCUUUCUGAAGGCAGCCCUCCUUGCACAGCAUCCCGCAUCCUAUCCUGCUAAGGAAGGUGCGUUCCCUCUGCAGGAGCCGGCUGGAGCAGGAGCGCAGGAGAUCGGUGGGGAUGCCGGAGCGCAGCAGUGGGUUGGCACCGGCAGCCCCAUGGAGUUUGAGCCGGGCACGGCGGGCUUCUUCCCCCCCGAGGAAAUAUCUCAGGGCAGAUCUAUGCUCUACCAGCU
rnacentral:lncRNA from 1 species